rnacentral:lncRNA from 10 species
CUGCGCCACUGCACUCCAGCCUAGGCAACAAGAGCAAACCUCUGUCUCAAAAAAGAAAAAAGCAUAUUUUCAAUGGCUGUAUAAUAUCCUUUUAUAGUGAAUAUACAGUAUUUGGAUAACUACUUUUCUAUAACUGAGUCUCUAGUCCAUUUCUGUUGUUUUCUACUAUAAAUGGACCUUUUGGUCCUGAGUGGGCUAUUGGGAAGUCCAUCUGCCAGGCCAGAACUGUGGCUAGGACAUUUUAAUUGACUGCAACUAAUCACCUUCAGGUCACUCACGUUUCCAAUUCUGACAAAAGUUUUCCUUGUUCUUCUGAUUCGUAGGCAGGUAUUUGCAGGUUAAAGGUUUGGGUUGAGAAGGACACAGGGAACUUGCUGGUAUGAUGGAAGUAUCUGUGUUUGGCUGGGUCAGUGGAGUCAGAGUGUUCACUGUUACACCUUGGAACUGAGACUGCUUGAUGCGGACAAUGUUCAGACAUUUGUUUAUGCACCAAAAUGUACACCUAACAUUUGUGCAUUUUACUGUAGGUAAAGUCAUUAAAGUUGGUGUCUUUGAAAGCUGGGCUGAGGGAUUGGCUUUUGGGUGAAUAAGGACGAGGCUGUCUGUGGAGCUCACCCAGGGGUUGCUGGGCUGCCACAGGAGAGCUUGACCUCAUUCAUUCAACAGAUAUCUCAUGGACCCAACUGUGGGUGGUGCAGUCUCCACAGCUGCAUCCCUGCAGGCCCCCGAACAAAACUGAAGGUGGUCUCAGCUGCAUGGAGUUCUCAUUUUAGUGAGGGAGACAGGCAGUAAACAAGCAUGUAAUAUUCUGGAGCAAGAAGGGCUGGAAAAAUACUUCCAGGGAUAGAGAAGAGGGGCAGUAAAUCAUAUAUAAAAAGGUCCUGAAGUGGCCCUUUCAGACCAUGUCAUUGGAGUGGAGAGAGCAAGAGGAAAAUGGCAGGGGGUGAGGACAGAGUGGGCACGGCCCAGAGGAAGCAGCUGAGGGAGCGCUGGAAAGCCCUUGGCUUUAAGUCUCAGCUCUGAGCAGAGUGACAUGAUCUGACUUGCAUUUUGGAAGGGUCACUGUGGCUGCUGAGGGGAACAGCCUUUGGGAGGUGAGGGUAGCAACAGGGAGGUCAGCAGGAGGGCCACUGCAGUGAUCUGGAUGAAGGACCAUGGCUUGGACAAGGGCCAUGGUCAGGGGUGG